rnacentral:rRNA from 1 species
UGGGGAAUAUUGCGCAAUGGGGGGAACCCUGACGCAGCCAUGCCGCGUGAAUGAAGAAGGCCUUAGGGUUGUAAAGUUCUUUCGGUAUUGAGGAAGGUUGAUGUGUUAAUAGCACAUCAAAUUGACGUUAAAUACAGAAGAAGCACCGGCUAACUCCGUGCCAGCAGCCGCGGUAAUACGGAGGGUGCGAGCGUUAAUCGGAAUAACUGGGCGUAAAGGGCACGCAGGCGGUUAUUUAAGUGAGGUGUGAAAGCCCCGGGCUUAACCUGGGAAUUGCAUUUCAGACUGGGUAACUAGAGUACUUUAGGGAGGGGUAGAAUUCCACGUGUAGCGGUGAAAUGCGUAGAGAUGUGGAGGAAUACCGAAGGCGAAGGCAGCCCCUUGGGAAUGUACUGACGCUCAUGUGCGAAAGCGUGGGGAGCAAACAGGAUUAGAUACCCUGGUAGUCCACGCUGUAAACGCUGUCGAUUUGGGGGUUGGGGUUUAACUCUGGCGCCCGUAGCUAACGUGAUAAAUCGACCGCCUGGGGAGUACGGCCNNCAAGGUUA